rnacentral:tRNA from 1 species
GCGCUCGUAGCUCAAUGGAUAGAGCAACAGACUUCGGAUCUGUCGGUUGGGGGUUCGAGUCCUCCCGGGCGCA